UUCCCAAAUUGAGAGCAAAUCCCUAAUAUUUCCUCUCUUCCGCCUCGUCGUAGCUUCCUUGCAGCAGCCAACACCGGCGCUUCCUCGACGGCGAGGAAUUCGACGGGGUCAGCCCGUGUUCCCUCCAUCGACGCAUCUUGUCGCGCCGUCCGUUCAACUCUGGCCCGCGACGGGUCGCUGUGUACUCGCGACGACAUCGGUGCUCGAGCACGACAUCACCGCCACCGCCAGCCGUCGAGGACUGGCAGCCGCCUUGUUGCUGCCGUCGUCGUCCCCUCGGCGCGUCUGCAGAGCCACCCCUUUCCCGAGGCGGCCUCGACAUUCAUCGGUGAUUCAGCGACGACGUCUCGCAUCUCCGUCGUUUGCACAGCAGCUGCCGGUCCGUGACUCACGCCGCCGCCACCGAUCUUCCUCAGUAGCGACUCAUCGAGUGUCUCGGCUGCCUUGCGGUCAGCUUCCGGCUCCGUUGCUAAACGACCUCGCGACUGCCACCCCCCGCCAAGCUAAGUCCCCCAUUAGUCUAUUUCAUGCCCCCCCCCUUUUCUUAUUUCUUGUUGAGGGAUUAUACAUGCAUUGAUAGUUAUUGCUCAAUUCAGCUGAUUUUUAGUCGACAAAUAUGUUUACAUCCCUGGUUCUGUGCUCUUAAGUUCCGUGGUAGAUUGCCUACUUAUUCUCAUGAAAACGUUCUAUCAUGCUUCUAUUAUGUGGGGAAAAAGGGGGAGUGUUACCUCUCCACUGGCUGUGGCUUCUUGUGAUCUCUGUCUAGCUAGCUUCUCGGCUCCAACUCCCUCUCACUUGGCUCACUGUAUGCGAUUGUCUUUGUGUUGGUGAGGGAGGGAGGGCUGAGGCCUAUUUAUGCUUGUGGUCUAACUGAAAGCCUGAAAAAAGGGCCUGUUAUCUCUGAUUGGGGAGCAGUCUUUGAUGGACUGGUUUUGCUAUUAACUCUGCAGCAUUUUAACUGUUUUUGGCUUCAUGUGGGUGCCUAGUACUUGGUGUAUUUAUGGAGUGUUGUCUCAUUUGGCAGGAGUAUAAGGGAUGGCAGGAGUUUGCCACUGAUUCCCCUGCUGUGGUCAUUGAACAACCAAGCUGGAAGGGCAAGCCAUUUCUGGUGGUAGCAGCCUUCAUUCUUACCUAUUUUGUUCGGUUGGUGCUCGGCAGAGAAAUAUGGAUGCUAAGUGUGGUUCUCACCUUGGUGUCCCAGUUCGUCUGGCCGCUUGAGCUGGGCUGAGACCGGGCCUGACACGUGUCCUAUGACUCGAAUUGUAAUAGCGUAGCCCCACGUGUAAACUUUCUUUAACAUGUAAAAUAGUUAGUUGAGUUGUGUA